AACUGGGCUAGACUGGAGGGUCAGGGGUCCUCUGUAAGCGCACAUCCCCUAUACGGUGCAGUCGAAGUUCAAGGGGCGGCAGUUUAACUGGGUGUUGGCCCAGGAUCUCAACGUAGAAACCUCGUCCCGCAGGAUUAGUGGUGGCAGAGUUCUGGCUGGAGGGCCAGGAUAAACUGUCUUAACUAAGGGAACGGGUCAGGUCUGGAAAGAAGCAGCUCUACCUUAGACAGCUGAUGCUUGUGGAGCAACGGGGCGGAGUUGGAAUUCUGGAUCACCAGCAUUCACGAGGGCUGUCCACCCUUGAACACGCCCAUUU
rnacentral:SRP_RNA from 1 species